UACUUGGAGCUUGAAAACACCUGGCGUGGUUCUCGGGGUCCCUAGAACCGUCAGCCACGGACUGGUCGGCUCUGGGGUUGUGGGCAGAAGGCUCUGAGCGGUCGGAAGGGUUUCCUGUGUGUCAGCAACUUCACUUUGCCGAGAGAGCUGGCGGAAGAGGGAAGGAGCGCUCGCAGGCCAAUCGCCUGCGAGCAGCCACCUUUGACUGAGCGCACCCCUCACCCUCGCCACUGACUCCGGUAGCAGCGUGCUGGUAGAGGCUGAACUCACUCGGCCUCGGCGGAGACCUGCUCCCCAGAAGACGCCUUCGCUUCCCGGUGCGCCCUGGGGGACGCGGACUGGCUGCUGGGGGAACUGGCGGAGGCACGCCCCUCGCCUCCCCGCGGAGCGCGGACUCGCCCCGGUGCCCAAACUCCGCCCAUCCUCACGAGAGCUUAGCUCUCCCGCCUAACCCCCCGCACUCCGGACGUAGCAGAGCCUGGGGAAAGGCUCCCUGAACUGCGGGGACGCCGAAUGGGACGCGCUCCAGAAGCGCACGAGUCUGCUGCCACGCGCGCUGCGAUGGCUACCAGGGGCUGAGCCCGGGGUGGGCAGAGGAAGCGGUUAGACACCCCGAAGCUGAGCUGCCCCUUUCUAAGGUAGGGAGGAGAAAGAUGCCAUAAUGAAGUUGAUCUUUGAGCCGAGGAGGCUGGGGAGCACUCUCCCCAGGCUAGAGCCCUGCAGAGCGAGUUUCGCCUGACCUCGCCGCGCCUCUGGCGCGCUCUCCAGCGCGGACCCGCGGCCCCUCGGGAAAGCGCAGUCGGAAAGUUAUCCGCGGCGGUGUCCUGCGCGCCCUGUUGUGUAACCUCGGCGUUGCCAGCGGACGGGGAAGUUGCUGGCCUGCCCGACAGCCAGUUCGGUGGCGGCCCGGGGCGGAUUUCAUGGCCCGCGGCGAACGCGGGGCUGGAGCCGGCGUGGGCAAGCCCCCGCGCGUCCCCUCCCGCGGGGAUCCCGCGAGCCCGCUCCCUUCCGCUUGCUGGGUUUUCCAAUGCUUGCUGCGUCCCUGGCCGCUGCUGCCCUCUCGCCGCCGCUUGCCCCUCGGAGCCGCCGCCUAAGUCGAGGAGGACAGAAUGACCGAGGUGCUGUGGCCGGCUGUCCCCAAUGGGACGGACGCUGCCUUCCUAGCCGGUCCGGGUUCGUCCUGGGGGAACAGCACGGUCCCCUCCACCGCUGCCGUCUCAGCGCCUUUCAAAUGCGCCCUGACCAAGACAGGCUUCCAGUUUUACUACCUGCCUACCGUCUACAUCUUGGUGUUCAUCAUCGGCUUCCUGGGCAACAGCGUGGCCAUCUGGAUGUUCGUCUUCCACAUGAAGCCCUGGAGCGGCAUCUCCGUGUACAUGUUCAACUUGGCUCUGGCCGACUUCUUGUACGUGCUGACUCUGCCAGCCCUGAUCUUCUACUACUUCAAUAAAACAGACUGGAUCUUCGGGGAUGUCAUGUGUAAACUGCAGAGGUUCAUCUUCCAUGUGAACCUCUAUGGCAGCAUCUUGUUUCUGACGUGCAUCAGUGCCCACCGGUACAGCGGUGUGGUGUACCCCCUCAAGUCCCUGGGCCGGCUCAAAAAGAAGAACGCGGUCUAUAUCAGCGUGCUGGUGUGGCUCAUCGUGGUGGUGGCGAUCUCUCCCAUCCUCUUUUACUCGGGUACCGGGGUCCGCAAAAACAAAACCAUCACCUGUUAUGACACCACCUCAGACGAGUACCUGCGAAGUUAUUUCAUCUACAGCAUGUGCACGACCGUGGCCAUGUUCUGUGUCCCCUUGGUGCUGAUUCUGGGCUGUUACGGAUUAAUUGUGAGAGCUUUGAUUUACAAAGAUCUGGACAACUCUCCUCUGAGGAGGAAAUCGAUUUACCUGGUGAUCAUUGUACUGACUGUUUUUGCUGUGUCUUACAUCCCUUUCCAUGUGAUGAAAACGAUGAACUUGAGGGCCCGGCUUGAUUUUCAGACCCCAGCAAUGUGUGCUUUCAAUGACAGGGUUUAUGCCACGUAUCAGGUGACAAGAGGUCUAGCAAGUCUCAACAGUUGUGUGGACCCCAUUCUCUACUUCUUGGCGGGAGAUACUUUCAGAAGGAGACUCUCCCGAGCCACAAGGAAAGCUUCCAGAAGAAGUGAGGCAAAUUUGCAAUCCAAGAGUGAAGACAUGACCCUCAAUAUUUUAUCAGAGUUCAAGCAGAAUGGAGAUACAAGUUUGUGAAGGCACAAGAAUCUCCAGACACCUCACUGUUGUAAUAUGGUAGGAUGCUUAAAGAACCAAGUGCUUCUCCCACCUUUAACUUUCUAGUCUCAGGAUGCUGGCUUAAUUUAGAGUAUGUGUUAAGUACAUUGUUUCAGAGUCCAGAGACCUUUGUGAAUGUGGAUCCAGUGAGGAGGUGAACAGUGACUAGAAAUGCUUAUUUACUAUUUGGCGUGUUUUUUUUCGAAGUGUUUCUUCUUUAGCUUCAUACUUCACAUAUGGACAUUGGUGACACGUGAAUGCAUGCCACAUAGUAACAAGAAUGAUCUUGCCAACUCCUUCCAGGACAAAAGAAGCCUCUGGGAAGAUGUGUGAAAAUGGUGAAAACAUACAGAGGGUCAGGAUGAAGCAGUGAUCUCUACUGGCUGAAAAACUGAUUCAGGUUGCAUGAUGACUGAAGUAUUUCAAUAGUAAAGGCAGAAAUGUGUUGGCUUUUGGAUAAAAAAAAACAGCUAAAAUUAUAGAACUUAUCACCUAACAAAAUUUCACACCACAAAAAUAUUUUAAUGGCAAAUUCAAGGUGUUUUACUGCUUACAAAUUGGCUUCUUUGACUCUUUGAACAUCAAUUUGUGUUUACAUUGAAAUGACAAAAAGACAAACUAAGAAGAAAUAUAGCAUGCAAGUCAGGAUUCAGAAUUAAAACCAUGAUGUUGCCACUCAGCCAGCUGUGUGACUGUUGACCCUUUCAAGACCGCUCAUGGAUUAAAAAGGUUGGAUGACAUCCAUUUGUUGAGGCCUUGGGGGAUAUGGUAAAGCAUGAAAACUAGACAGCCAGGAGUGUGUGAAAUCUGCUACUGUAUUUUCCAGGACUUCAUUCCACUCCUUGGCUAAAAAAUUCUUGUAAAUUUCACAGAUUAUGAGGUGGGCCUGUCACUUGUAAAUUGUCUCAAUCUACUCAGACAAGACGCUAAACUGUCUUUGGAUACUAUAAGUGUCAGUGCUUAUAGCAGCUGGAAUUUGGCUAAUGACAAUGUUUAAAGCUGUAAUACUAGUUGGUAUCUAUUGCAGCUUAAACUUUGCUGGUCAAAUUGUAGCUCUGGUAAUAGUAUUUAUUGAAGAAACUCACAGUCCUUCAGUUGUACAGAUUGAAAAACUUUCAUGAAAGAUCCAACAUACUAAUAAUGUAAAUUAUAUUUAUUACAAUGUAUAAUAUUGAUGUGUGAAACUGUUGUAUUUUACAAAAUAUAUGAUGCAUACCUAAAUGAGAGUUGUAUAUUACAGUGCUUUUCAGAUAUCAGUAUCUUGGAAUAUUUAAGUCUUCACACUUUUUGGUCUAAAAUGUGAAAAUGUUUCAUGAUCAAGUGAUUAAUUUUCCCUAGAAGUGCUUUUGCAUGUUUGCCUUUUUAUUUAAGUUUUUUCUAUAUAGACAUAAUUUGGUGUCAGACUAUUGUAAGAUCAAUAGUGCAUAUAAAAUAUCUUAGCCAAAUGGGGUCCGUAUUGUCUACAUUUUAUAUAUUAAAUAAAAGUUUUUCUUGUCUUUUCAGGAAGUUUAGAGUAGUGUCCCUAAAUAUGGUCAGAGCUUCCCUUUACAAAUACAAAAGUCUUAUUUUACAUUUAAAAUUAUCUAUCAUGUUUUAGCAGUUGAGUGGGAUGGGCAUUAUAUAUACAACAUUAGAAUGUAAGGAAAAACUUUAAGGAGAUGGGGAGAGAAAAAGGCAGCUGGUACAAUCAGUUACUGCUGCUUAGUUCUACCUAAUUUUCUGUGUUGCUUCUUAAGGUGAGAUAACAUAACCUUAACUCUUUUGAGAUGGAAUUUUUAAGUAACACACUACCAGCAAGUUCAACACUGCUAUUGAUUUUACUUAAAUUCCAAGUUUUAUAGUGAUAAUUGUAUAUUAUUUGGCUGCUGAAUUUUGUUACAGUUUUUUAUUCUGUUAUACAUGGUAUUAAACACAUUGUCACAAAUUAAUAUGAAGGUGAAUAUGUUACAUAUCAAAAUUUGUGAAUUUGAAUUAUAGUAUGUUUUAGUGCUUUUGCAAAAAAUGUUUAUUUUUAUAUUAUCUGUGAUUUAAUGUAGAUGAUUGAACUAGAUUUCGAGUGAUUGGCGCCGAUGAAUGAGUGGUAUGGAAACAGUGUUACUUGAUAUUUUGAGCUUUCUCAGGUUUAUCUGAAUCAGUGGUAGCUUAACAAAAUCCAGACUAAUUGUGGGUAAUUGUAUUUUUAAUAAAAGGAAAGUAUAUUUCCUAUAAUAGCAUAGUAUUGUUUGCAUGUAGGAGUAUGCAAAAUCUUGUGUGUCUGCAUGUGUGUGUGUGUGUGUGUGUGUGUAUCUUAGUGUGUGUAAGGCAUGGCAGCCAACUUUGUAUCUGCUAUUUUUAGUACCAGUAGAGCUUCAUAAUUGUGGUCACUAGAACUGUACUUACCAUGGACAAUUAAAACUGAAAAAGACUCAAUAAAACUAUGAAACAUGAUA